AAUUAUUUGUUUAAAUCUUCCCUUCCAAAAUUUCCCAAAAGCACAACCCUAUCCUUCAGCAAUAGCUGCAUAAAUGUGUUCUUUUCUCGCUUUAACUCUGUCUUUUUCCUUCUCUUUCAUCUACUACACAUUGAAAUAAUAUCGGCUUAUGGAGGAGUGACGAAAUCAAAAUUGAUGGGGACAUGAAUUAUUUUUUUUCUCUCUUGGGUACAUUGAUAAAGUUGAGUAAAAUGAUGUUUCACUAUUUUGAACGAUAUUGCUAAAACUUUAUUAAUUUUUUCCCCUAAGAUGUUGCAUUUAAUGCAGAAUUUAAGAUAUUCUAAUACAAUUGUCUUUAUAAUGGAUGUCAAAAAUGGAUUCUCUAGUAA